GAUGAACGCUGGCGGCGUGCCUAAUACAUGCAAGUCGAACGCUGGAAAUCUAGCUUGCUAGAUUGAAGGAGUGGCGAACGGGUGAGUAAUACAUAAGCAACCUACCCACGAAGACUGGGAUAAUCUCUGGAAACGGGGACUAAUACCGGAUAGGUAAUCGGAAGGCAUCUUCUGAUUAUUAAAGGUUAAAAACACUGGUGGAUGGGCUUAUGGCGCAUUAGUUAGUUGGUGAGGUAACGGCCCACCGAGACGAUGAUGCGUAGCCGGCCUGAGAGGGUGAACGGCCACAUUGGGACUGAGACACGGCCCAGACUCCUACGGGAGGCAGCAGUAGGGAAUUUUCGGCAAUGGGGGAAACCCUGACCGAGCAACGCCGCGUGAGUGAUGACGGCCUUCGGGUUGUAAAGCUCUGUUGUAAGGGAAGAACGGUAGAUAGAGAAUAUCUAAAUGACGGUACCUUACCAGAAAGCCACGGCUAACUACGUG
rnacentral:rRNA from 1 species